UCUUUCUUCCCCCUGCCCAUGCUCCUGUUUCUUAUAUAUGACAUUAAGGAAGAAUCAUGGCAACACAUCUAAAACCUUCAAGUCUGGCCAUGGGAACACAGGAAGUAGAUAGUGUAGUACAGAUAUCAAAUGUGAAUAGAGAAAAGAAUUGUAUACUCCAUGUGGUCCUUUGCUUUAUUGAUGUUGGUAAUUUUUGAAUAACAUAAGGAUUUGGGAAUUUAUAAUUGAAGUAGGUACACCAUAAUUACACUGUUAUUCUCAGUCUAUAGAUGGGCCCACUUUGUUUCCAAAAUCAUAGCAGAAAAUGGAAUUUGAAAACAGAAUUUUUGAGUACAUAUUCAGGAAUAUUUAUAAUGUCCCCUAUGAAGGAAUGUACAAUAGGAAAGUGAAAUACAAUGUUCAUUCAACGAAAGGUGUGUAGGUAAAGUACUGGCCUUUAUAAAAUUAAGAAAACCUAGAAAAUUGAACUGUAUGUCACAGGAAUUGACCUGGGAAUAAAAAUAUUAUCCAGAAGAAUCUCCUCCACUCCAAGUUCCUAAAUAAUUUCUAUCCAUGCCAUGCCCCUGACUCAUUUUCUCCAUUCAGAAGUCACUAGCUUUAGAGAGAUGGAGAACGAAAGUUUCCACUGUGUCACAGGAGACAUACCUAAAUUGGCACCCUCAAAACUGGUUAAUGUAAGGAAAGCUGUUUAGAGUCAGGCCACGGCAGUUCUCAGUGACAAUAUCAUUAGGCUCUCCCUGAAAAAUCUCUUGUAUCCUUGAGAGCACUAGCUUCUUCUGUGAUGUAAUAAGUGUUGUCCUGACUGCAAAUGCCUCUCAGAUAUUACUUCAGUACCUAUAGGUUUUACUAAUUGGCCUCAAAUUCAGGGGAAACAGUCAUUAGGGAGGGAGAACAAAGACGAUGAAGAAAUCAGAGAUGGGGAGAACGAAGCUGGUCUUCUGUCUUGGUAUAAAAGAAGGAAGAAAUACAUCAUCCCUGAGAAAUCUCACUGAAGCCUUGGUAGGAGUGGAAUAUGAAAAAUAGUCCUGAGGAAGGAGGGACAACAAGUAUUGUAUCGUAUGUCAUCUCAAGAAAAACUCUCAAAACUCAUCCUGGCUGACAAUGUAGAUUAGACGCAUCAGAUGAAAUGAAUUGAAAAACUCUCCUGGGAAUGAAAGUGGUAAGGAAAUCACAUUGAUGUAUCCUAAAUGCAGUGCUAAGAGCAAUAUUCAGACUAGUCUGUGGAGAUGCUGCUGUCAUCAGAGACCACAGACAAUUAGUGGAGAAUGAUUCAGCAUUAAACUGGGAAUGGAAGAUGAUGGUUGAUAUUGUUCUAGUAGAUCUCACUACAUUAAAAAGUGUUUCUUCCAGAUAACUGAAUGAUUAUUGUAAAGCAAAUCCCGGAAUGAACUUAUGAGACCCACCAUCAGCCUGUCAAAUAAUGUGCGAAAGAAGAAAUCUGUGUCUCUCCAGGGACAAAUUGUUGCUUUCAAACCAACAGUAAAGUGUCCAUUCUAUGAAUGAUACAUUGAUAUAUACACAUUAUAGAAGGAUGGAUACAGAGUUUCUUCAGGUCCAUGAAUGAGGUAUUCAGCAGUUGACCUGGAGUAGCAAUGAGGGUAAUUUUUGCCAACUCUUCAGACUUGAGCUCCUUCACUAGGAUCCCCAUGAUUGAAGAAAAGAACAAACUUCAGACAAUUUGUCUCAGAUUUUUAUGUAGUUAAGAUUUCCUGGUCUUGGACCUAGGAAGGAAGGAUAUCUUGCUUUCCAAUUCUUGUUUAUCCUAUAAUCCUCUCUGCUGCAUUCAUGCAAAUAGAUUACUGUGCAUUUCUUUAAUAGGUUACAAUUGCUAUUUUAAUUAUGUUGCCAAGAACUAUAGAAAAAAAGAAGGACUGUAUCAAAGCAUCAUAUGAAAAUACGACUAAGGUAAUGUGGCCAUUGGAAAUUUGUAACUGACCUGAAACUCUUACUAGAGACAAAAUGCCAUAAAAGGUCUUCUCUAGAUAUCUGGUGUAGUAGUUGGUGUUCCCCAACAGACAGUAAAGGAUGAAUCUCUCUGUACAGAGAAAUCGGACUAGUCACAAUGAUCACAGACUAUGGAACACAUAAUUUAACAAUGACUGACUAUUUUUAAAGUCCUAGAAUCCAUUAGUUUAUUAGUCCAAAAGGAAAGAUGUCUUAUCUGGUCAUUGACAUAUGGAUAAAUAUUCAGUAUGCAGGUUCUAAUGUCUAUGAGGAUUUGGUAUCACUGUGAGUGCAAAAAUGAAAAAGUAAAGGCUUCUUUCUUCCAUGUUUUCUACGGGGAUUCAAAUAGAAUGCAUGGUUUAGAAUACAUUGGGUUUGCCAUUCUCAAACAGACCAAUAUCUUCAACUGAACAUUCUUUUCUUGGAAGCUGCACCCUGUCAGCAUGGCUCACGUGUAUGUGAACUGCAAGAUCUAGUCUGGGAAGGCGGUCCUGUUCAUCGAUCCAACCUGCCCCUAAUACUGAAAUACCCAAGACUUCCUCAAUCAACUCCUUUGCAAACAUGGUCUUCUGGGAUUUGAAGACAUUACAUCUACUAACAACACCAAUGCAAUUCAAGAUUACUUUCAACAGCUCCCUGGAGUGAGAAUUGUUCCUUGGGUCCUUAUAUGUAGAGAAAGACUGCAUAGGCAGACACAGUGAUCUAAUCUACCUGCAACAGAAUGAAGAGAUGAUGAUGUGGCUGAAGCAGAUUGGAGCUCUGCAUUUAUUAAAGGGAUGGCAGUAAAAGCCCAUGCUGACAGCAGACAUUCAGACAUGCUGAAGCCAUGAUGAGACUUGAUGUUUGUCACAGAUGAUGUCAGUAUUUUCUUAUGACUGGGAUUUUCAACAAAUUGGCUUUCAUUCUAUUCCUCAUUCCAAAAAAUCUGUUGCUGUAGGCCUCAAACCAUGGGGUAGGGAAACUUAAGAGACAACAGAGGUUUGAUAAUCCAGUCUUCAUUCACUGACUUGUCUCUACCUCUAAGUCCAUGUUUCACAAUCCAGUGCAUUUAAAUCUCCAGGGAAUCAGUUACUGUUUCUCUACCAUGCUGGUCUGCUGAAGUCAUUUUACAGAAGUCCACUUCCAAGUAAUUAUUAAAGCAAUGAAUAUUUUGAAGUUGUUUAUGAUCUACACACAGGCUUUUUACGCCCCAAGCAUGUACCAUCCCACUUCUGCAUUUGCAGCUCUCAGCCAGUGUUCUCGACCUAUCCAUCCAGCAACCCUUAGAUUCCACACUUUGUAUGAGGAUAAUAUUUGAAAAAACAGAAGAAUAGCUGUAGCAUAGUUGUUCUUCUCUGUAGCCAUAUUAACACAGACGGCAGAGCAUAUGAUGCAUUCAUCUCUGUUUGUAGUGUUUAAUUCCCCGUAAAGUCCCAAACAAUUGAGAGUUGAUUCUGUCAGAGUACCAGCAAAGUCAAAAAGGAAAUGCAAAAUUUCAGAAUUCUCCUUCCAAAGAUGUUUUGAAAGAAGUUGUUUGCAAAACACUGUCUUAAUAAAUUUAUUCCAUUCUCACUUUGAU